rnacentral:rRNA from 2 species
GGUCAAUAGCCUAACGGCUGAACCAGCAACUUGAAGGAAUGUAUAGCGAAAGCUAGUGUGUGGCUUACAGGUAUCUAGGUUUCUUCUUAAAAAUUUUUAGGAAGAAAUAAGAAAAGGGUAGGUGCAAUCUUGAUUCGAUCAAAUAAAGUUCUAGCUAGAGUUAUGAUGAUGACAUACUCUAUCUAUGUGUCUUGACCAAAUUACGUGCCAGCAGUCGCGGUAAUACGUAAAAGACUAGUGUUAUUCAUCUUUAAUAGGUUUAAAGGGUACCUAGACGGCUAAAAAAGCUCCCAAAGAGUACUGAUUAGCUAGAGUUUGAUGUAAAGAGGCAAUAAAGUACUGAUAGUAUAGAGAUGAAAUUCUACGAUACUAUAUAUGGCACUGGUAUUAGCGAAGGCGUCCUCUUAUGUAAUAACUGACGU